AAUUGGACUAAGGGCUCACCCUACUCCAGUAUAACCUUAUUUUAACUACAUACAUGUGCGAUGACCCUAUUUCAGAUAACCACCUUCCGAUAUACUGAAGAUUACGACUUCAACAUAUAUUGUUUGGGAAUACGAUGAAACCCAUAAAAAUUACACAGGACAACAGGGAUGAGCUUCAAAAAAUUACAUUAAUGAAAGAAACCAGAAAAAAGUCAUCUAUAUAUUAUGUUAAAUAUCCAUAAUAGACAAUCUUGCUCUUCUGAGCACAGCCAACAUAGGACUUUAUCCUAUAAAGGGCACAUGGAGAAUGAGAUGAAGAGAAUGCAUCUUAAAAGGCAAAGAAGAUGAAUUUGAACAUGAUGGAAAGUGAUUGAAAGAACCAGAGACGGAGCAGAUGCUAGGAUGAGCGGAAGUGAACAAGAGGCUUCAGUAAGAUGGCUUAUUUGAAAGCAAAUGUUAAAGCUCCCUGGAAGGAUGGCUGUUAUCUUCAGCUGCUCCUCAUUCAAGGAAUUGUACCCACUGAAAGCUGGAAUGGAGGAAAUGAACUGAAUCUUAUAUAGUCCAGCUGAAGCUGAAUUUUCCUUUACCAGGUCUUUGGGAGAACAACAGCAGAGAAUUUUUUUCUUUAGAGACUUAAGGCAACUUUGAAAAGCUAAUAAAUGAUUAGGUAAAAUGAGUUAUUUUGAAUAAACAUGAAAGAAAAUGUACCAGAAUGACUCAUCACAGUCGACAUUUGAAUAAGUAACAUAUUCAAGACAUUUUUAUUAAAAUCUUUUGUCAAGUGUCUCAUUUUAAGAUCAGAUGAAAGAUACCUCCAAGGCUCUUGAAGGAUUUUUACUUUUUUAGUGAAUAUUAUACUUCUACCUUUAUGUAACAUUCAACAUAAAACACAAUAAAUAUAUGGGGCAUUGUUUUUUCACUAUAUGAGUCAAAAUAUUUCUUUAAAAUGUGGCGAUCAGUCCCAUUCAAAAUAAGAGAACUGGAGUUCUUUUUUGUGGUGCCUCGGAGGUGGUCAGGUGCUUCAAGGGAGAAGCUGAACAACAUUUUCCCAACUACUGGCUGCUGGAAACUCACUGAAGUAUGUGAUGAAUGCAUAUUCUGUACCUUUUAUGAGAAGUAUGGUCAAAGAAGUUGCUGCUGAUAUUCUAGGUGAAGAAGGGAUGGGUUUUGUGGGUUGGAAUUGGUGGUGAAAUUACAGACAAGGCUUCCCCAUGAAGUAAGGUGUCUUCAUCCAUGGUUGUCUGCCUUCUACUGGGCAAGGGUCAUUCCUGUUAUAGACUAACAACUGGAGAAGAAAACACAAUUGGGUUUGGGUUUGCAUUGAAGAUGCUAAUCUGAGUGUUCUGAACUUGGUCAUUGUAAAAUAAAAAAAAGGAGAGCACGAUAUUCCUAGACUUAUUGAUACUCCCCAUGAUCCUCUCCUGGGGCCCAAAAGAGAUAGCAGAAUCCAUAAGAUUUUCAAUCUCUCUAAAGAAGAUGUCAUUCACCACUAUGUUUGGAAAAGCCCAUAAGCAAGGGCAGGAAGCCAAGGACCAAAGUGAUGAGCGCCUUGUUAUUCCACCUGCCGUGCAACAAAUGUGGGUGUGUUACUUUGAAGAAACAGUGUAUCAAGAAAAAUAAGUAAGGGGUGGCAGAAAAUGCUAAACUUUUGGGGAAGAGAAUGAAGGAGGCCAAAGAAAAAUGCCAAGAACAGAUUGCCAAGAUACAGAGGUUACCCUCCUGGGAGUUUCUACGUUUCAGUAGGAAUCCAGUCAAAAAUGAGAUUUUCUAAGAAUAACAAGAUAAGAUAUUAAAAAAUAAGAUAAAGCUGUUAUAUAUGUGGUAAGUAGAAUAAUGUCCCCUAUGACGAAGAUGUCCUUAGAACCUGUGACUAUAUUUAGUUUUAUGACAAAGGAAAAUGAGGAUUAAAUCAAAGUCGCUACUCAGCUGACCUUAAAGUAGGAGAAAUUAAGAUUGAAUUGAAGCUGCUACUCAGCUGACCUUAAAAUAGGCAGAUUAUCCAAAAUAAUCCAGAUGAAAUAAUUUAAUUGGAAGAGCACCUAUCAGUAGGAGAGGGAGGCAAAACUAUGAGUUGAAGGAAGAUGUGACUAGGGAAGAGAAGCGUGGUGAGGUCUGGCGUUGCUGUUACUGAAGAUGAAGAAGGCGGCUGUGAAUGUGGGCAUCAUCUAGAAGCUGGAAAGGGCAGGGAAACAGAUUACGCCCUGAAGACCUUGAAAGGAGGGCUGCGCU